GAUGAACGCUAGCUACAGGCUUAACACAUGCAAGUCGAGGGGAAACGACAUCGCAAGCUUGCUUUUGAUGGGCGUCGACCGGCGCACGGGUGAGUAACGCGUAUCCAACCUGCCCAUCACUUGGGGAUAACCUUGCGAAAGUAAGACUAAUACCCAAUGAUAUCUCUAGAAGACAUCUGAAAGAGAUUAAAGAUUUAUCGGUGAUGGAUGGGGAUGCGUCUGAUUAGCUUGUUGGCGGGGUAACGGCCCACCAAGGCAACGAUCAGUAGGGGUUCUGAGAGGAAGGUCCCCCACAUUGGAACUGAGACACGGUCCAAACUCCUACGGGAGGCAGCAGUGAGGAAUAUUGGUCAAUGGGCGAGAGCCUGAACCAGCCAAGUAGCGUGCAGGAAGACGGCCCUAUGGGUUGUAAACUGCUUUUAUAAGGGAAUAAAGUGAGAGUCGUGACUCUUUUUGUAUGUACCUUAUGAAUAAGGACCGGCUAAUUCCGUG
rnacentral:rRNA from 1 species